rnacentral:rRNA from 1 species
UACGUAGGUGGCAAGCGUUGUCCGGAAUUAUUGGGCGUAAAGCGCGCGCAGGUGGUUCCUUAAGUCUGAUGUGAAAGCCCACGGCUCAACCGUGGAAGGUCAUUGGAAACUGGGGAACUUGAGUGCAGAAGAGGAAAGUGGAAUUCCAAGUGUAGCGGUGAAAUGCGUAGAUAUUUGGAGGAACACCAGUGGCGAAGGCGGCGCGCUGGACCACUACUGACGCUGAGGAACGAAAGCUAGGGGAGCAAACAGG